CGGCCAACGGACACUGGGAAUUGGAGUUCGGGAGGGACGAAACGAGGAGGAGGAGGAGGAACCCCGCCGCCUUCCGGAAAGACCGGCCAGCCCCCGCCGCCUCUUCCCUUCCCGGAAGCCCCGGGCAUGUCGUCGGAAACACCCCCGGCUACCGCCCCUUUGGCCGAGGAGGGAACGCCGAACUUGAGCCAGGAUCCAGCGGGAGACGGGAAGCCGGGAUCCGGUGAGGCGGAAGGGCUCGAACCCCUGUCCAAAAGGCAGAUGAAGAAACUGAUGAGGCAGAAGCAGUGGGAAGACCAAAGAGAACUUCGCAAGCAGAAACGGAAAGAGAAGCGUCAGAAGCGAAAGCUCGGGCGGCAGGAGCCCGCCGGCGGGGACUCCAGGAAGCGGGUUCGCCGGGCCGCGGUGCCCAGCCCCCUGCGCCUCAUCGUCGACUGCGCCUUCGACCACCUCAUGACCUUAAAGGACGUUAAGAAGCUUCACAAGCAAAUCCAGAGAUGCUACUCCGAGAACCGGCGGGCCCGGCAUCCGGUGCAGUUCCAUCUGACCAGCCACGGAGGCCAGUUGAAAAAGAACAUGGACGAAAAUGACAAAGGAUGGGUGAAUUGGAAGGAUAUCCAUAUCAAACCGGAGCAUUACACCGAGUUCGUGGCGAAGGAAGACCUGGUUUACCUCACGUCGGACUCCCCUAAUGUGCUGAAGGAGCUCGAUGAGUCGAAAGCCUACGUGAUCGGAGGACUGGUGGAUCACAAUCAUCACAAGGGAGUCACUUACAAGCAAGCAGUAGAACAAGGAAUCAGUCACGCUCAGCUGCCCCUGGGAGACUUUGUGAGAAUGAACAGCCGGAAGGUUUUGGCCGUCAAUCACGUGUUUGAGAUCAUCCUGGAGUACCUGGAGACCCGCGAUUGGCAGGAGGCAUUUUUCACCAUUUUACCGCAGCGGAAAGGGGCAGUGCCCGCAGACCAGGCCCCAGACCCAGAGGGUGGUUCGGACAGCGACGACCCCGGCUCUGAAAAACUCAACGGAGAUCCGCAGGACCGAGCCCGCGGAGAACGGAGACCGGAUAAGGAGGACAAUACCAAAACGGAGAAUUUUCCGACCCACUAGGUUCCCUUUUGAAGCAAAGGGGUGAGAGGGGAAGGCCACCCCUCUGCUUUAUGUACAUUAUUUAAUUUUAUUCUUUUUACAGACUGGUUGGAAGAACCUGGUCAAGUCGUCUGGCUCGCCAGAGGAAAGCAGGUUUUCAGUUUCUUUAAUCGUUCCAUCACGUGCGCCAAAAACGAGGUUUCUUCGCCCCGCAGGCUUCAGACAGAAGCUUGUGGGGAAUUGCCCCAGUCCUGCGUCCGACAUAUCGGACGCUUCGUCGGGCUUCAGCGCCCUCCCACCCCACGCCGGAGUCGCGGCGUGAAGGUGCGGCCAGUGACUGGGCAGGAACCCGCUCUGGAUCUUCCGGUCGGUGGCCAAAAUCCCGUCCGGACGGGACCGCUCCGAGGAAGAGGAGAAAGGAAGAAGGUGAGCGACCGUAGCGAAUUGGUGAAUUGGUCCCCCGCGAGGCCCCAAAGCCCAGCUCGCUUUCGGUGGCCGGGACUGCUGCCAGCUUUUCCCUGGAUGGUGACUUCCAGCCCCAACUCUGACCGGUCCAUCGCCCGGAGAAGGGAGAGGCUCAGGGGCCUAGACGGAAGUGACGGAUGACCUCGGUCCUCACUGCCGGGAUGGUUCCGGCCCAGAGAGACGCCCCCUCCUCAGCCACUAAAUUGAGACAACGCUCAUCUCGUUUCUCCCACCGGAUUUCCAGAGCUGCUUCCCUCGGGACGCCGUCCGCUCACUUACGGGUUGGCCUGCUUUUUGAACACACGACGUCCCCCCCCAAAAAAUCUGCCGUUGACCCCGUCGCCAUUGCCCCUGAGCACCACGGCCCCUUUGGGAACCAGGUUUCAGAACUCUUACAAGGGUCUUAGUGACAAAAGCUUCGGUCCGGGCCAACGGCCGCCCCGCACUGUCAGCGUGGCCUGGCACGGGCCUGGAAAUCAGAGGACCUGGAUUCUAAUACCGGCUCGGCAAUAUCCACUGCGUGACCCCGGGCA